GAUGAACGCUAGCGGCAGGCCUAAUACAUGCAAGUCGAACGGUGUAGCAAUACACAGUGGCGCACGGGUGCGUAACACGUAUGCAACCUACCUUACAUUGGGGGAUAGCCUUUCGAAAGGGAGAUUAAUACCGCAUACGACAGUAACUAGGCAUCUAGUAGCUGUUAAAGAUUUAUCGAUGUAAGCUGGGCAUGCGUCCAAUUAGUUAGUUGGCGAGGUAAUGGCUCACCAAGACGAUGAUUGGUAGGGGAACUGAGAGGUCAAUUCCCCACACUGGCACUGGGAUACGGGCCAGACUCCUACGGGAGGCAGCAGUAGGGAAUAUUGGGCAAUGGGCGCAAGCCUGACCCAGCCAUGCCGCGUGCAGGAAGAAGGCGUUAUGCGUUGUAAACUGCUUUUAUACAGGAAGAAACGACCCUUGCGAGGGGCAUUGACGGUACUGUAUGAAUAAGCACCGGCUAACUCCGUGCCAGCCGCCGCCGUAAUAC
rnacentral:rRNA from 1 species